rnacentral:rRNA from 1 species
UUUCAAGUCUUUAAGAGCAAACGGUGGAUGCCUUGGCAUCUGGAGCCGAAGAAGGACGUAGCAAUCUGCGAUAAGCCUCGGGGAACUGAUAAGCAAGUUUUGAUCCGAGGGUGUCCGAAUGGGGAAACCCCGCUGGGCGGCGUGCCGACCUAGUGACUCCCGCCUGAAUAUAUAGGGCGGGUAGAGGGAACGUGGGGAAGUGAAACAUCUCAGUACCCACAGGAAGAGAAAGCAACCGCGAUUCCGUUAGUAGUGGCGAGCGAAACCGGAACAGGCUAAACCGAGCGUGUGUGAUAGCCGGCAGGCGUUGCACGUUGGGGGUUGUGGGACUUUUCAGUCAUCUCUGCCGAGGUGGCGGCGUUACAAGAAGGUAUAGACGAACGGUCUUGAAAGGCCGGUCAUAGAGGGUGCCAACCCCGUAGUCGAAAUGCUUCUCUUGGCGCGAAGAGUAUCCCAAGUAGCACGGGGCCCGUGAAAUCCCGUGUGAAUCUGUCAGGACCACCUGAUAAGCCUAAAUACUCCCAGAUGACCGAUAGCGGACAAGUACCGUGAGGGAAAGGUGAAAAGUACCCCGGGAGGGGAGUGAAAUAGUACCUGAAACCGUUUGCUUACAAACCGUUGGAGCCUCCUUAGUAGGGGUGACAGCGUGCCUUUUGAAGAAUGAGCCUGCGAGUUAGCGAUAUGUGGCGAGGUUAACCCGUGUGGGGUAGCCGUAGCGAAAGCGAGUCUGAAUAGGGCGAUUCAGUCGCAUGUCCUAGACCCGAAGCGAAGUGAUCUAUCCAUGGCCAGGUUGAAGCGACGGUAAGACGUCGUGGAGGACCGAACCCACUUAGGUUGAAAACUGAGGGGAUGAGCUGUGGAUAGGGGUGAAAGGCCAAUCAAACUUCGUGAUAGCUGGUUCUCUCCGAAAUGCAUUUAGGUGCAGCGUUGCGUGUUUCUUGCCGGAGGUAGAGCUACUGGAUGGCCGAUGGGCCCUACAAGGUUACUGACGUCAGCCAAACUCCGAAUGCCGGUAAGUGAGAGCGCAGCAGUGAGACUGUGGGGGAUAAGCUUCAUAGUCGAGAGGGAAACAACCCAGACCACCAACUAAGGUCCCAAAGCGCGUGCUAAGUGGGAAAGGAUGUGGAGUUGCUCUGACAACCAGGAGGUUGGCUUAGAAGCAGCCACCCUUGAAAGAGUGCGUAAUAGCUCACUGGUCAAGUGAUUCCGCGCCGACAAUGUAACGGGGCUCAAGCACGCCACCGAAGUUGUGGCAUUGACAUUAUUGGUAGGCCUUCGUGGUCCAGCCGUGUUGAUGGGUAGGAGAGCGUCGUGUGGCCAGCGAAGCGGCGGUGGAAACCAGCCGUGGAGGCUACACGAGUGAGAAUGCAGGCAUGAGUAGCGAAUGACGUGUGAGAAACACGUCCUCCGAAAGACCAAGGGUUCCAGGGUCAAGCUAAUCUUCCCUGGGUAAGUCGGGACCUAAGGCGAGGCCGACAGGCGUAGUCGAUGGACAACGGGUUGAUAUUCCCGUACCGGCGAAGAACCGCCCAAGCUAAUCCAGUAGUGCUAAGUGUCUGAAUCCCAGUGACUGAUCCCUUCGGGGUGACGCUCUGGGCCUAGCGCACGACCCCAUGCUGGUGCGGUUAGCGUAUUAACAGGUGUGACGCAGGAAGGUAGCCCAAGCCAGGCGAUGGUUGUCCUGGUGCAAGUGCGUAGGCCGAGUCGUAGGCAAAU